rnacentral:rRNA from 1 species
AUGCCGUGGGAGUUCACCAAGGACAACAUGGAGAAGGUCAACGAAAUCCUAUCUCAUUACCCAAGCAACUACAAGCAAUCUGGUAUUAUUCCAAUGCUGGAUCUUGCACAGCAGCAGCAUGGUGGAUGGGUCCCGGUUGCAGCAAUGGACGCUAUUGCUAAAAUAGUUGGGGUUGCACCGAUCAGGGUCUAUGAAGUUGCAACAUUUUACUCAAUGUUCAAUCGGACCAAGGUGGGAAAAUAUCACCUUUUGGUGUGUGGAACUACACCUUGUAUGAUUCGUGGUUCAUGUGAUAUUGAAGAUGCCCUUUUAAAACACCUUGGAGUUAAACGGAAUGAGGUGACAAGCGAUGGUUUAUUUUCUGUUGGGGAAAUGGAAUGCAUGGGUUGCUGUGUGAAUGCUCCCAUGAUUGCUGUGGCUGACUAUACCAAAGGUUCAGAUGGUUACACAUACAAUUAUUAUGAAGACCUCACUCCCAAGCGAGUCGUUGAGCUCGUUGAAAUGCUUAGAAGAGGAGAAACGCCCCCUCGUGGCACCCAGAACCCAGAGCGGAAAAACUGUGGUCCUGCUGGAGGGAUGACCACCUUGCUAGGCGAGCCAAAGCCUCCCCCAUGCAGGGACCUGGAUGCCUGCUAG